CGCAAUGUAGCUCAGUUGGAUAGAGCGAACGACUGCUAAUCGUUUUGGCGCAGGUUCGAAUCCUGCCUUUGCAC
rnacentral:tRNA from 1 species